UACAGAGGUCCCAAGCGUUGUUCGGAUUCAUUGGGCGUAAAGGGUGCGUAGGCGGCGCGGUAAGUCGGGUGUGAAAUCUCGGAGCUUAACUCCGAAACUGCAUUCGAUACUGCCGUGCUUGAGGACUGGAGAGGAGACUGGAAUUUACGGUGUAGCGGUGAAAUGCGUAGAUAUCGUAAGGAAGACCAGUGGCGAAAGCGACUCUCUGGACGGCAACUGACGCUGAGGCACGAAAGCGUGGGGAGCAAACAGG
rnacentral:rRNA from 1 species